GCAAUGCAUGUAACACUUCUGGCAGAGUGAUUUUACUCAAAUCUUUUGUGUUCUCCAAGGCGGCUAUAAAGGCUUCAUAUCUUUCAGGUACCGUUACAAGGAGUUUUUCCACAAUUCUGGAAUCAGAAAAUUGAGUGCCUAGUAAUCGUACCUUAUUAGCGAUACCCAAUAAUUUAUCAGCGUGUCUUGAUUGUUUCAUCCUCCUUCAUUCUUUGCAACUCGAACUCUCUCAAUAAAUUCAUAACUUGCAUGCUUCGAAUCCUUUCAUCUCCUUUAUAUUCUUCUUUUAGGUAAUCCCAAAUUUCUUUUGGUGUUUU
rnacentral:lncRNA from 1 species